CCUACGGGAGACAGCAGUGGGGAAUAUUGGGCAAUGGGCGCAAGCCUGACCCAGCAACGCCGCGUGAAGGAAGAAGGCUUUCGGGUUGUAAACUUCUUUUCUCAGGGACGAAGAAAGUGACGGUACCUGAGGAAUAAGCCACGGCUAACUACGUGCCAGCAGCCGCGGUAAUACGGAGGUGGCAAGCGUUAUCCGGAUUUACUGGGUGUAAAGGGCGUGUAGGCGGGAAAGCAAGUCAGAUGUGAAAACCAUGGGCUCAACCUGUGGCCUGCAUUUGAAACUGUUUUUCUUGAGUACUGGAGAGGCAGACGGAAUUCCUCGUGUAGCGGUGAAAUGCGUAGAUAUGAGGAGGAACACCAGUGGCGAAGGCGGUCUGCUGGACAGCAACUGACGCUGAGGCGCGAAAGCGUGGGGAGCAAACAGGAUUAGAUACCCUUGUAGUC
rnacentral:rRNA from 1 species